AUGUACCGCUCGUACAUUGCUGUUCUUGCGCGCCGUCCACCCAGCUGACGACUGCUCGCUACGUCUGCUAGAC
rnacentral:sRNA from 18 species